GACGAACGCUGGCGGCGUGCUUAACACAUGCAAGUCGAACGGAAAGGCCUCUUUCGGGGGGUACUCGAGUGGCGAACGGGUGAGUAACACGUGAGUAACCUGCCCUUGACUUUGGGAUAACUUCAGGAAACUGGGGCUAAUACCGGAUAGGAGCUCCUGCUGCAUGGCGGGGGUUGGAAAGUUUCGGCGGUUGGGGAUGGACUCGCGGCUUAUCAGCUUGUUGGUGGGGUAGUGGCUUACCAAGGCUUUGACGGGUAGCCGGCCUGAGAGGGUGACCGGCCACAUUGGGACUGAGAUACGGCCCAGACUCCUACGGGAGGCAGCAGUGGGGAAUAUUGCACAAUGGGUGGAAGCCUGAUGCAGCAACGCCGUGUGCGGGAUGACGGCCUUCGGGUUGUAAACCGCUUUCGCUCAUGACGAAGCUUUGUGUGACGGUAGUGGGUAAAGAAGCACCGGCUAACUACGUG
rnacentral:rRNA from 1 species